rnacentral:rRNA from 1 species
AUUGAACGCUGGCGGCAUGCCUUACACAUGCAAGUCGAACGGUAACGCGGGGCAACCUGGCGACGAGUGGCGAACGGGUGAGUAAAGCAUCGGAACGUGCCCAGUAGUGGGGGAUAGCCCGGCGAAAGCCGGAUUAAUACCGCAUACGACCUACGGGUGAAAGGGGGGGAUCGCAAGACCUCUCGCUAUUGGAGCGGCCGAUGUCAGAUUAGGUAGUUGGUGGGGUAAAGGCCUACCAAGCCUGCGAUCUGUAGCUGGUCUGAGAGGACGACCAGCCACACUGGGACUGAGACACGGCCCAGACUCCGACGGGAGGCAGCAGUGGGGAAUUUUGGACAAUGGGCGCAAGCCUGAUCCAGCCAUGCCGCGUGCGGGAAGAAGGCCUUCGGGUUGUAAACCGCUUUUGUCAGGGAAGAAAAGCCUUGGGUUAAUACCCUGGGGUGAUGACGGUACCUGAAGAAUAAGCACCGGCUAACUACGUGCCAGCCGCCGCAGUAA